rnacentral:rRNA from 1 species
AUUGAACGCUGGCGGCAGGCCUAACACAUGCAAGUCGAGCGAGCGGCGGACGGGUGAGUAAUGUCUGGGAAACUGCCUGAUGGCGGGGGAUAACUACUGGAAACGGUAGCUAAUACCGCAUACCAUCAGAUGAACCCAUAUGGGAUUAGCUAGUAGGUGAGGUAACUGCUCACCUAGGCGACGAUCCCUAGCUGGUCUGAGAGGAUGAUCAGCCACACUGGGACGGAGACACGGCCCAGACUCCUACGGGAGGCAGCAGUGGGGAAUAUUGCACAAUGGGCGCAAGCCUGAUGCAGCCAUGCCGCGUGUAUGAAGAAGGCCUUCGGGUUGUAAAGUACUUUCAGUCGGGAGGCGUUACCGACAGAAGAAGCACCGGCUAACUCCGUGCCAGCAGCCGCGGUAAUAC